rnacentral:rRNA from 1 species
CCUACGGGUGGCAGCAGUGAGGAAUAUUGGUCAAUGGGCGGGAGCCUGAACCAGCCAAGUCGCGUGAGGGACGACGGUCCUAUGGAUUGUAAACCUCUUUAGGCGGGGCGCAAUGCCGGGCACGCGUGCCCGGAGGCAGCGUACCCGCAGAAUCAGCAUCGGCUAACUCCGUGCCAGCAGCCGCGGUAAUACGGAGGAUGCGAUCGUUAUCCGGAUUUAUUGGGUUCAGGGGUGCGUAGGCGCAUUUUUCAGUCAGCGCGAAAAUGUCCGGACUAAACCCGGUCGGGCAGUUGAAACUGGGGAUCUUGAGUGGGCGAGAAGUAUGCGGAAUGCGUGGUGGAGCGGUGAAAUGCAUAGAUAUCACGCAGAACUCCGAUUGCGAAGGCAGCAUACCGGCGCCCGACUGACGCUGAGGCACGAAAGCGUGGGGAUCGAACAGGAUUAGAUACCCGAGUAGUC